rnacentral:misc_RNA from 1 species
AACCAUAGAAACCUGCGGAGUACCUGCGGAAGGAUCAUUAUAGUAUAUGGAAUCUCCAUUCUAUAAACCCACUCUGCGUAUCUUGUAACUGUUGCUUCCAUGGGACUUGGUUCCGCCACACCGGCUUCACGGCUGGUGAGCGCCCAUGGAAGGAGAAACAAAACUCUUCUUUGAAAUGUAGUCAGUCUGAACAAGUUUCUAUAAACGUUAAAACUUUUAGCAAUGGAUCUCAGAUCGGAA